GGAGUUAGCCCGGUGCUUCUUCUGCGAGUAACGUCACAGAUGUAAGGUAUUAACUUACACCCUUUCCUCCUCGCUGAAAGUGCUUUACAACCCGAAGGCCUUCUUCACACACGCGGCAUGGCUGCAUCAGGGUUUCCCCCAUUGUGCAAUAUUCCCCACUGCUGCCUCCCGUAGGAGUCUGGGCCGUGUCUCAGUCCCAGUGUGGCUGAUCAUCCUCUCAGACCAGCUAGGGAUCGUCGCCUAGGUGAGCCUUUACCUCACCUACUAGCUAAUCCCACCUGGGCUUAUCCAUCAGCGCAAGGCCCGAAGGUCCCCUGCUUUCCCCCGUAGGGCGUAUGCGGUAUUAGCAGUCGUUUCCAACUGUUAUCCCCCACAAAUGGGCAAAUUCCCAGGCAUUACUCACCCGUCCGCCGCUCGUCAUCUUCAAAAGCAAGCUUUUGAAAUGUUACCGCUCGACUUGCAUGUGUUAGGCCUGCCGCCAGCGUUCAAUCUGAACCAAGAUCAAAUUCNGA
rnacentral:rRNA from 1 species